rnacentral:ribozyme from 1 species
AGACUCCAGCAAACAUAUGUUUGCAAGAGGAAUAGCCACAAGAAGGAAACAAGAAGAAGAACGCGCAGGAGCGGGACUCAAAUUGAAACCGUCUUGUUUGGUAUUGUACUACUGUUUUUGUUGUUGUUGUUGUUACUGUUGUUUU